rnacentral:rRNA from 1 species
AUUGAACGCUGGCGGCAGGCCUAACACAUGCAAGUCGAGCGGUAGAGAGAAGCUUGCUUCUCUUGAGAGCGGCGGACGGGUGAGUAAUGCCUAGGAAUCUGCCUGGUAGUGGGGGAUAACGUUCGGAAACGGACGCUAAUACCGCAUACGUCCUACGGGAGAAAGCAGGGGACCUUCGGGCCUUGCGCUAUCAGAUGAGCCUAGGUCGGAUUAGCUAGUUGGUGAGGUAAUGGCUCACCAAGGCGACGAUCCGUAACUGGUCUGAGAGGAUGAUCAGUCACACUGGAACUGAGACACGGUCCAGACUCCUACGGGAGGCAGCAGUGGGGAAUAUUGGACAAUGGGCGAAAGCCUGAUCCAGCCAUGCCGCGUGUGUGAAGAAGGUCUUCGGAUUGUAAAGCACUUUAAGUUGGGAGGAAGGGUUGUAGAUUAAUACUCUGCAAUUUUGACGUUACCGACAGAAUAAGCACCGGCUAACUCUGUGCCAGCAGCCGCGGUAAUACAGAGGGUGCAAGCGUUAAUCGGAAUUACUGGGCGUAAAGCGCGCGUAGGUGGUUUGUUAAGUUGGAUGUGAAAUCCCCGGGCUCAACCUGGGAACUGCAUUCAAAACUGACUGACUAGAGUAUGGUAGAGGGUGGUGGAAUUUCCUGUGUAGCGGUGAAAUGCGUAGAUAUAGGAAGGAACACCAGUGGCGAAGCGACCACCUGGACUAAUACUGACACUGAGGUGCGAAGCGUGGGGAGCAACAGGAUUAAUACCUGGUAGUCCAAGGGCGAAUUCUCAGUGGAUAUCAAGCUUAUCGAUACCGGCCACCCUCGAGGGGGGCCCGGUACUGGCCUUUUGUUCCUCUCUCUUAUUAUUAUUGCGCGUUGCCAUAUCAGGCAUAUUGUUCCAUAUGGGUUCCCUUUAUGGCAGUCUAU